GUCUCUGUCUCUGUUGCUGCUGCUGCGUUUUGUUUAUUUGUCUCUGUUCCACUUGUUUUUUGCCUUUCGCCUUUUGCACUUGUCCGUUCGUUGCUGCUGGUUGGCGCUGGCUCUGCUUCUUGUUUGCUUGUUAUUAUGCACACUUUUCCCGUUACAUUUCAAUUAGAUUUUCGCUGAUUUUUCGCACUAAUUCUUUAUUGGGAAUUUAAUUUGCGAUUUAGAAUAUUUAGCACACCAAUUUUUUUUUGUUUUUUGAGGAGAGCGCGAGACACACGAACCACCGCGCCGCGCCGCACGCCCGAAGUGCCUUUACGUUAUAUGAUGAAAACCGAAACGACGACGACGCCGAGAACCGUUCAACAUGAACGACGACGACGACGCGAGCAGAGCAAAACAGAGCAGAGCUGCCCCACUGAGCUAACAGCCAACAGCAGCAGCAGCAGCAGCAAAACGAUGCGAAAAACGAAUUGAGGCGAAGGCGAACAGGCACGGCAUGGCACCCAACACACACAUCCACACACACACAGACGAGGGAGCGAACGAGAGAGCAAGACCAGAGGCAAGCUUGAGAGAGCCAGCCAGCGCAAUGCGUGAGAGCGUGUCAGGCUCGGAAAUCCAAUUACAGGCAGAGAAGGGACUCCGGACCCCAGCAGACAGAGCGGCAGCGACAGUGUCGCGGCGCCGUAGCUUACAGUGACUCGAAAAGGAACACGCAUAUACACACACAGACGCACACGCAGUGGGACGCAUGGGGACAACAGAUGGAUCAAGUGGGAUUCACACACACGCACACAAGCCGACGGACGACUUGGGGACAGUGGGAGGAACCGAAAUCGCAAAAAGAAACAACAAAAACGUGACUUUGAAUUAUCCCACGGGGAAUAUAGGGAAAACAGUGGAAAAGCGGCGUUGAGUGGAGGAGAAACAAAUGAUACUGGAAGAAUAAAUGUAGCUGUGUGAUUUAUGCCUAA